AAGUCUGAUGGAGCAACGCCGCGUGAGUGAUGAAGGUUUUCGGAUCGUAAAACUCUGUUGUAAGGGAAGAACCAGUACGUCAGGCAAUGGACGUACCUUGACGGUACCUUAUUAGAAAGCCACGGCUAACUACGUGCCAGCAGCCGCGGUAAUACGUAGGGGGCGAGCGUUAUCCGGAAUCACUGGGCGUAAAGGGUGCGUAGGCGGUUUCUUAAGUCAGAGGUGAAAGGCUACGGCUCAACCGUAGUAAGCCUUUGAAACUGGGGAACUUGAGUGCAGGAGAGGAGAGUGGAAUUCCUAGUGUAGCGGUGAAAUGCGUAGAUAUUAGGAGGAACACCAGUGGCGAAGGCGACUCUCUGGACUGCAACUGACGCUGAGGCACGAAAGCGUGGGGAGCGAACA
rnacentral:rRNA from 2 species